rnacentral:lncRNA from 1 species
UAGAAAAACACAGAUAUGGUGGUUGACACAGUCCUAAAAAAUGGAGUCAUGGAGGUAAGUACAUACUGCUCUUUGGAGAAACAUGGUUGUAAGGUGAACGAAAAACUAAGGUGUACACUAGAAGGAAACAGAGCGACAAAAUAGGAGAUGCUGAAAGAAAAAGAGAAGUUGAAAUACAGAAGAGAAGAGACGCAAUGUAAGCUUCCCAAAGAAAUGAGAAGAUGUGAUUCAAAGAACAGAUGGUAGGUUUAACAUUUGAAAUGUAGGACAACAAUUUAGCUAAAAUAGAAAGGGAAGAGGUAAGGCUGGCUCUGACUAUAUUUACACUUGUUUGUGUUUUGGGGAGAGAAAGGAAGUGGAGAACGUUCUUGCAAGAUGAUCUGUAUUUUCUCUCUAAAGCAGAGUUCAUUUGCUGAGAAUGAUGGAGAAAAUCAGCAUCUAGCUAAUCAGCUGACCAUGAGAUGCAGAGAUUAUCUGGAAUUAUCCAGAUUGGUCCAUUUAAUUACAUGAGUCCUUAAAAGUGGAAAGUGGAAGAAGAGGCAGAAGAGUGUGUCAGAGAGAUGCUGUGUGAAAAGGACUCAACCUGCCACUUGAGGCUUUGAGGCUGGAGAAAGGGGCCAUGAACCAAGGAUUGUGAGCAGCCUGUAAAAUCUGGAAAAGACAAGGCAAUACCCUUUGCUGUCUCAGGGUCAAACAUGCAACUCCUGCCUGCUUGUAUGGCCAGCUGGGUUCAAGAAGGAAGGAACCUCAUUGUUGACAGUUACCAGAUGAAUGUGCCCCUUCUGUACAGCUAAGAAAUGGAAUAGACAUUGGUAACCUUCCACAGGCCCACACAUGUGUUAUCAGCCAUACCUUAGGACAGAAGGAAUGAGUUUGCAGAAAGGAUGCCCUACAACCAUACUGAGAAUUUAGCCCUGGGGACAUCUUCCGAUAUAAUCUGGCAUAGAAGAGUGGUUAUCACACCUUUAGCAUGGGACCCUUGAGACACCUUUGCUGUGAAUAAUGGAGAAGCAAAAGGAGUUACUAAUGAAGACAAACUAAACCUGAGAACAGAGAGAGCCUAACUAUGUGCUCCAGAAGUGCCAUGUGUGUCUAAGGUAGGUCCAAAGGUAUGAGUCUAGAGAUAUUAUGUAUAAAACACCUAAUUGAAUGUCAAAAAAUCCAUAGAAGCUUAAUAAUUGGUAGCAAUUAUUAUUACUCAUUAGUGUGGGGGCUGGGAAGAUGACAACAGAGUAUAACUUGGAGGGUUGGUGUAGAGCAAUUAGCUAGCAACUGUAGUUUGAAUUUCCAUGAAGUAGUUCCCUUAAUUGUGUACACACAAACACAUCAAAACUGAAACCACAGCUAUGUGAUUUAAUAAUGUUGCACGUUUAGACAUGAUACAAGGCACUUUUGCCUACAUUAUCUUUCUGUGAGUUUAACAUUAGACCUGGUAUAAUUAUCCUAAAUUUACUACUAGAGAAUUUAGUUUGAAAAGUCAUGCAACUUUUCUAAAGAAUUUUUUCUGAUUUAAUAACACCAAUCAAUGAAUUAAUCAAUCAACUGUUCUGGCCAUUAAAUGUGUGAGAAAAAAAAGUCAGUGUAUUAAUUAUAAUUAUAUACCGAGACUUGGCUCUGUGUGUUUCACAAAAUAAGUAUAAAGUAUCAAAUUUGUUAUAAAUGUGUGACCCAUUAAAAGAAAAAAAAACUUGAUAGAUGUGUAUUUGGUAACAGCUUUUUAGAAAAUUUUUUGAACAUUUAUGAUGUUCAGAAAAGAACAGUGAUCAGUGUGCUAAAUUAAAUUACUUGAAUAAAUUAUGGAGAAAAAGUUCUGAUUUUUGUGCAAGGUUUGCAUUCUGGAUUGAGGUCCAGUUCUUUUUGAAGUAUCUGAAAUCAAACAUAUAUUUCCAAACCCUGAGGACUGAUUUCCUUCUGAAGACCACCCUCUCUUCUAUUUGAGGAACUCCAUAUUCCUUCUUGUAACACUACUCUGAUUCUAUAUCAAGCAAUCUUGGCCUUGUUAAGAUAAGAAAGUUGCCUUAAGCACUUUCCAAAGCUUUCCUACAUUCACUGUUGGUGGAUGGUGUCCCUACCCUACUUGUUCCCCUGCAGAACCUCAGAUUGGAGAUAUAAGGGGUGAAAUAACAGCCAAGUACCUCAGAGCUAAGUACUUUACAUAUAACUCAUUUAAUCCUCACAGCAUUGCUAUGGAACAAGUACUAUUAUUCAUCCCAGUUUACAGAUAGAAACUAAGGCAGAGAAAGGUUAAAUAAUCAAAGUUUACCUACUAGAUAACAGAGUGGGGGUAGAAACCAAGCCAUUCUGGCUUUUCCUGCUUGUAACACCAGGGUGGUAAAGGUGAAAAUUUGGGUUCAUUCUCACAGAGAAGAGGUUAUUAAGGCUCAGACUGGACAGAUAGCAUGGGAAUGAUGAGCAAGCAGGAAAUUUAAGAGUCAGAUCUUAGAAAAAUAUGACAAAGCCUAGAGACUGGCAACUGACAUGAUCUGAGAAAAGUGAGGAGGCCAGUGUUCCUUGUUUGGAAACAGGAGGAAUAAUGGGACCACUGGUUGAAAUGGAGUGCAAAUGUCUUAUAAGAAAAGGAAAAAAAUGACACCAACUUGACCCUCAAGUAUAUUUUGAGUAUAUUCUAUUUCUCUUUUCAUUAGAAGAAAUUUAAUUUGAGAAAUGAAUAGAGAAAGAAAGGGGAAAGGAGAAUGUUUCAAAGAAUAAGGUUAAAGUCAUCACAGCUUGACAGCAAUCUAAAAGUCAAAAAGUAUGCCAGAAUAGCAGGUAUUUGAGACCCACUGUUCGAAACAAUUUUAUUUUAAACACAUGUGGUUCCUUAAUGAUACUGGUAGCAUGGUGGUUGUGCAGCCCGCCUUUAGCAGGAAGUGCUGAUUUGCUUAAUUCUAUUAAGCCUAUAAGAAAGGUAAAUCUGUCUCCUGAACUUAAGGGGCCUCUGCUCUAAAGUAAGUUUGACAUUGGCCAAUAAUCACCCUGACAUUCUUGUGGCUUUGGCUGCUCUUGAAGCUGCUGAAUUGCACCAAGAGAAGAGGCUGAGUGAGAAAGCCUGGUUAUAGCAAUGGCCCAUCCUGUCAGUGCUGGGAGUGGGUACUAUACUCAAAGCAGUAUAAAUACAGAUGCUGCACAUUAUGCUCUGCUAUGCUGGCUGCCUUUGGGAUGAUUGUUGGGAAAGUUCUUGAAGCCAGUGGUGUUAGAGGGGACAGUGUGCUUCUUGAAACAAAAGAGUUGAUGGUGAGAAUGGUCUUUGAAAACUGUACUCUUUACAAAGGUGAACUCUGCAAACUGGGCCUACUGAAAGAAAUAGGGAUUCUAUUUUCAUUACUGUUUUAUCAUCAAAAUACCAUAAGGCCUGGCCCUUAGCAAAUAGUCCUUAAAUAUCUGAUACCAUUAGAAGCUUGCUUCUAUGAAGGGUGAUCACCCAUCCCAGUUUGCGUGGGACAGUCUUAGUUUACAUUAUUGUCCUUGCAUCCUGUUCAGCUGGUAUAUAUCCAAGUCUCUUAAUUUUUAUUCAAGUAUUAUUAUUAAUAGUUGUACAAAAAUAAGUCAGAAUAAGUUUGGUAGACCUCUACUUUAUUUCCAGCUUCUGUCAUUUUCUUCCUGGUAGUAGGUAUGAGACAUAUAUACAUGGAAAGAUAAUCAGCAGUAGCCUAUCUCUCUCCCUUUAAUUUUUUAAAGAACUUUCCAGAUUCAAGAAUGGACAAGGCACUCAGUUAUGAGCAACAAAUUCCUUUUGUCUUGGAGAUCAUGGAAGAAGUAUUAGAUGCUGCUCCCCUUAGUGUAACAGCCAGUUUUGUUGCAGCCUGUGGGGCCUGCAAGCUACACAAAACCACCAGGAUCCUAGAAGAGUCACUAGGAAACGUAGAGUAUUAUAGCUAGAUAAACAUCAUCACAUAUGUGUAAAAGAUAGAGACUGAACAGUCCAGUCUUAAAAUGUAUAGCAAAGUAGUUUGAAUGCUCUUGUUACAGUGAUUUUGUCAUCUACCAAUUUUAAGUGUGUAGUGAUUUAUCUAUCACAUUAUUUGGCAAUACUUUCUGAAUUUUGCAAUACAUGCAACAAUGACCUAAAAAAUGAAAGUGCAUGUUUAAUUUAAAAAUUAAAAGUAAAGCCAGGCGCAGUGGCUCACACCUGUAAUCCCAGCACUUUGGGAGGCUGAGGCGGGCGGAUUACCUGAGGUCGGGAGUUCAAGACCAGCCUGACCAACAUGGAGAAACCCUGUCUCUACUAAAAAUACAAAAUUGACUGGGCGUGGUGGUGCAUGCCUGUGGUCCCAGCUACUUGGGAGGCCGAAGCAGGAGAAUUGCUUGAACCUGGGAGGCGGAUGUUGCGGUGAGUGGAGAUCGCGCCAUUGCACUCCAGCCUGGGCAACAAGAGCAAAACUCUGUCUCAAAAAAAAAAAAAAAAA